CCUACGGGUGGCAGCAGUGAGGAAUAUUGGUCAAUGGGCGCGAGCCUGAACCAGCCAAGUAGCGUGAAGGAUGACUGCCCUACGGGUUGUAAACUUCUUUUAUAAAGGAAUAAAGUGAGGCACGUGUGCCUUUUUGUAUGUACUUUAUGAAUAAGGAUCGGCUAACUCCGUGCCAGCAGCCGCGGUAAUACGGAGGAUCCGAGCGUUAUCCGGAUUUAUGGGGUUUAAAGGGAGCGUAGAUGGGUUGUUAAGUCAGUUGUGAAAGUUUGCGGCUCAACCGUAAAAUUGCAAUUGAUAUGGGCAGUCUGGAGUACAGUUGGGGUAGGAGGAAUGCGGGGUGUAGCGGGGAAAGGCUUAGAUAUCACGAAGAACCCCGAUGGCGAAGGCAGCUCAUAAA
rnacentral:rRNA from 1 species